UGGAGAUUUGAUCCUGGCUCAGAACGAACGCUGGCGGCAUGCCUAAUACAUGCAAGUCGAACGAGACCUUCGGGUCUAGUGGCGCACGGGUGCGUAACGCGUGGGAAUCUGCCCUUGGGUUCGGAAUAACUUCGGGAAACUGAAGCUAAUACCGGAUGAUGACGAAAGUCCAAAGAUUUAUCGCCCAGGGAUGAGCCCGCGUAGGAUUAGCUAGUUGGUGGGGUAAAGGCUCACCAAGGCAACGAUCCUUAGCUGGUCUGAGAGGAUGAUCAGCCACACUGGGACUGAGACACGGCCCAGACUCCUACGGGAGGCAGCAGUAGGGAAUAUUGGACAAUGGGCGAAAGCCUGAUCCAGCAAUGCCGCGUGAGUGAUGAAGGCCUUAGGGUUGUAAAGCUCUUUUACCCGAGAUGAUAAUGACAGUAUCGGGAGAAUAA
rnacentral:rRNA from 1 species